rnacentral:rRNA from 1 species
CUUUUCGGACGGGGUGGUAACGCGUGAGAAUCUGCCUUCAGGUUGGGGACAACAGUUGGAAACGACUGCUAAUACCCAAUGUGCCGAGAGGUGAAAGCUUUAGUGCCUGAAGAUGAGCUCGCGUCUGAUUAGCUAGUUGGUGGGGUAAGGGCCUACCAAGGCGACGAUCAGUAGCUGGUCUGAGAGGAUGAUCAGCCACACUGGGACUGAGACACGGCCCAGACUCCUACGGGAGGCAGCAGUGGGGAAUUUUCCGCAAUGGGCGCAAGCCUGACGGAGCAAGACCGCGUGAGGGAGGAAGGCUCUUGGGUUGUAAACCUCUUUUAUCAGGGAAGAAGUUCUGACGGUACCUGAUGAAUCAGCAUCGGCUAACUCCGUGCCAGCAGCCGCGGUAAUACGGAGGAUGCAAGCGUUAUCCGGAUUUAUUGGGCGUAAAGCGUCCGCAGGUGGUUUUUCAAGUCUGCUGUUAAAGCGCGAGGCUUAACUUCGUACAGGCAGUGGAAACUGAAUGACUAGAGUAUGGUAGGGGUAGCGGGAAUUCCCAGUGUAGCGGUGAAAUGCGUAGAUAUUGGGAAGAACACCAGCGGCGAAAGCGCGCUACUGGGCCAUUACUGACACUCAUGGACGAAAGCUAGGGGAGCGAAAGGGAUUAGAUACCCCUGGUAGUCAAAAGUUGGG